UACGUAGGGUGCAAGCGUUGUCCGGAAUUAUUGGGCGUAAAGAGCUCGUAGGCGGUCUGUCGCGUCUGCUGUGAAAAUCCAGGGCUCAACCCUGGACCUGCAGUGGGUACGGGCAGACUAGAGUGCGGUAGGGGAGAUCGGAAUUCCUGGUGUAGCGGUGAAAUGCGCAGAUAUCAGGAGGAACACCGGUGGUGUAGACGGCUUUCUGGACCGUAACUGACGCUGAGACACGAAAGCGUGGGUAGCAAACAGG
rnacentral:rRNA from 1 species